GCUCGGGUGGUGGAAUGGCAGACACGCAUGUUUGAGGUGCAUGUGCCGAAAGGCGUGGGGGUUCGACUCCCCCCCCGAGCACCA
rnacentral:tRNA from 1 species